GCAAACUUGGUCAUUUAGAGGAAGUAAAAGUCGUAACAAGGUUUCCGUAGGUGAACCUGCGGAAGGAUCAUUAAUGAAUAAAAAGUUGGGUUGUUGCUGGUUCUUUAAGAACAUGUGCACGCCUAACACCAAUUCUUUCAACCACCUUGUGCAUCUUGUGAUAGGUCCAGAUAUCUCUCGAGACUUUGCCUCUCGGUUUUUGGAGAAAAAUAGCUUUUUCUCUUACAUUUCUGGAUCUAUUAUUUUUAUACCAUAUACUUCAAAUACCUGAGUAUUUUAUGUAUUUAAAAAAAAAUGUGUACAACUUUCAACAACGGAUCUCUUGGCUCUCGCAUCGAUGAAGAACGCAGC
rnacentral:misc_RNA from 1 species